rnacentral:tRNA from 1 species
AGACCACUAACUUAAUGGUUAGAGUACCCGCCUCUUAAGCGGAAGGUUCUGAGUUCGAGUCUCAGGUGGUCUA